rnacentral:lncRNA from 1 species
CACACAGACCAGGCAAGGAUCCCAGUGGCCGUGGAUGAGUCUCAGGCUGGCUCUGGGCCAGUGGAACACACCUCAGUGUGGGUGAAGGCCUAGCCAGGGUAGCAGAGGGCAGGGCUACAGAACAGCAGCCCAGGUGGCUGUGGCCGACCUGACAUUCUCCUAUGAAAAUCAGGUGCCCAACCAGCACUAACCUAGAUAGAUGGCAGCAUUUUUUUUCUUUAAAGACAGGAUCUUGCUAUGUUGCUCAGGCUGGUCUUGAACUCCUGACCUCAAAGGAUCCUCCCCUCUUCAGCUUCCCAAAGCACUGGGGUUACAGGUGUGAGCCAGCACGCCCAGCCGAAUCAUAGUAUCUUAGACAGAUGCCAUGGCUGCCCAUAGGGUCCUCUCAAGGUGCCUCUGCCCUUGGACUGGCUUCCUGCUGCCUAGGGCUACUGUAGCUGGGAGUCACAUUCCUUUCUCCCCAGAUAGUUGCAAGGGGCCCAGCAGCCACAGCACUUCAAGGGGGCCCUGCCCCGGGGGAGGCACAGGAGAUGGCUCUCAGCAAUGUGUGCACUUGGUCCCUUGUUUGUUCCUGGCUGGGUCAGGGAAGGCCUGCCGGGGGUGGUGGCACUGAGAGCCUGGGGGAACAGGCGGCAGGCCAGUGGCCCAGGGACGGCACGGACGGAGGCAAUAAAUACUGAUGGCCAGGCGGGGCUCCUGGCUGGGCCCAGGUGGGGUGGGUGAGGCUGUCCAUCGAGGGCUCUUGGGGGGGGUGUGGGCUCUGGGCACUGCCCGCUGAGACAGAAAAGGCAGAGGCAGGACAAUACCCAGCCUCCUGGAUGGUACUGAGGUGACUUGAGUUUUGGCAAUUUGGCUUUCCCCAAGCCGCCGGAGCCAUCUCCACAGCCCUGUCCAGGGAAGGGGGCAGGCUCCCACACCCCAGCUCCACCCCGGAACAGCAGACGCACACGUCCAGGGGCAACCACGGGGCCUGGAGAAUGGCUGCUCCGCUCCCUCCUGAAGCCAGGCCUCGGGUGUGACGGGGAGAUAGAACCUGGGGGGCACAGAAAGGGCAGCAGAGGCCUGGCUGCGGCCUCUCUCCCCCACAGCACAGGCAGAAGCAGC